AUGAAAAAGCUGGGCCUCGUUCUUGCUCCAGUCCAUGAACUGUCGGGCCUGCGACGCGGCGCUAAGGAAGAAUACCGCGUGCGGCAGUGUGUUUCUUGUAGCGUGCGGUUUCUUAUACGCCAGCCAAACCGCCAGUUUGAUCGCAUCGCCCACACACAAUACAAUGGCCUCAUUGUUGCUCAGAUCUGGUCAGGUGUGCUUCCCCCGGUGCCCAGGCCGCUCGCGGUUGCUCUCCGAUGGUGUUGGGAGGUUCCAGUGCAAGGAAUUCUGCACGCCAUCCAAAUUGAUUUACUAAAUAUUGGAUGUUCAGCACUGUAA
rnacentral:rRNA from 1 species